UGUUUCGGCUAGGGGGUCAUCCCGACUUACCAACCCGAUGCAAACUACGAAUACCGAAGAAUGUUAUCACGGGAGACACACGGCGGGUGCUAACGUCCGUCGUGAAGAGGGAAACAACCCAGACCGCCAGCUAAGGUCCCAAAGUCAUGGUUAAGUGGGAAACGAUGUGGGAAGGCACAGACAGCCAGGAUGUUGGCUUAGAAGCAGCCAUCAUUUAAAGAAAGCGUAAUAGCUCACUGGUCGAGUCGGCCUGCGCGGAAGAUGUAACGGGGCUAAACCAUGCACCGAAGCUGCGGCAGCGACACUAUGUGUUGUUGGGUAGGGGAGCGUUCUGUAAGCCUGCGAAGGUGUGCUGUGAGGCAUGCUGGAGGUAUCAGAAGUGCGAAUGCUGACAUAAGUAACGAUAAAGCGGGUGAAAAGCCCGCUCGCCGGAAGACCAAGGGUUCCUGUCCAACGUUAAUCGGGGCAGGGUGAGUCGACCCCUAAGGCGAGGCCGAAAGGCGUAGUCGAUGGGAAACAGGUUAAUAUUCCUGUACUUGGUGUUACUGCGAAGGGGGGACGGAGAAGGCUAUGUUAGCCGGGCGACGGUUGUC
rnacentral:rRNA from 3 species